CGAGAUAAUGGGAUCUUCCAUUUUCCUCUAGUAAAUAAUAAAAACCCAGAAAAGAAAGAUCUUUCCUGAAAAUUUUCAGUAUCUGUGAGCAAAUAUGGAAAUCUACAACAACUUUGAAUCUUAUCAACUGACAUAUUUUGAUAUCGUGAUGGUGGGACGUCCAUGCUCAAUAGUUUUUACAGAUCAACAACUACAAUUAUACUAACAGAUGCAACAAAGCCUUUGAAUGAAUCGUACCUUAAAAAGCUGAGAAAAUUAAUGUAUCUUUGGAAGCUCUGGUUAAGAAAGAUGUUUGACAUAGACUGGGAGGUUUGUGAUAUCUGAAGUUCCGCCAAUGGAUCUUUCUUGGGCGAUAUCUACGAUGUAUGAGAGUUAGUUCAACCAAAUUCUUAGGCGGCUGUGGCCCUCUUACUCCUAUUCAG
rnacentral:lncRNA from 1 species